UGGAAAUGAGGCAGAACUCUAGAGAGAGGAAUGGAAGGAUAUAGGAGUUGGGAGUGGGGAAAUCAUGAAGAAUGUGUAUUCAUUGCCUUCCAGUGUCAGAAAAUAUAAAAACCAGAAGUGCGGAAAAUUUGACAUGUAUAACUAUGAAAGAACCAAGAAGCUUCUUAAUUCUGAAAAAGAAAUAUUUGGAAUUGCUUACAGGUGGAAUGGGAUUUGCCUUCAGUGGUGAGUACUCAUCAGAAUCAACGCAAACAUUUAUUAAAAAUUCUAUGCAUAACAAGGCAACAGCUUUUUUCCAUGUGUCAGGAUGGUGAAAUUCAUCACCUUCAAUCCCAUACUCAAAAGCCAUUGAGCAAUUCGUCAAGAUAUGGUGAAUACAAUAGACGACAACAAAGCAAACAAUUCUGAGCCUAAUUGUCUUCCUUACACAAUUUGAUUUUUCUGCAAAGCCUAUUUCAUCAUCGAGCAUGCGACAGAUUCAUUUAUUUCUCACUGGAAUAUGAGGAAUAUAUGUGCUUGAGAAAACAGAGUGAUUACCUUCAUGUUGCCAUAGCUACACAUGUGUACCUUAAAAAUGCUGCAAAAAUGAAUUCCAUUAUAUUGGAAAACAAAAUGCCAGAGACAUUUGACUUGACAGAAAUUAUACAUCUAUCAUCUCACCAAACACACAGACUUUUAGUCACUUUGCAGUAAUGCUGAUCCUUGUGCAUUUCUGUCCUGGCAGCCUGUGGAAGUCUGGAAUAUCGGCUAACAUUUGAUAUGAGAACACACAAAAAAACCUAGUAAGAAGCAUUUCGCUCUGAACUGAGGAGAAUGCAUCUCAUUAAAUCUAAACUGCAAAGACAUAACAUUAUCUAGCAGUGUGAACAUAAAGGAGCUGCUGUUACACAUCCACAUUUACCUCACAGAUAUCACAGAAGUUAAGUGGUGUUACUAAAAUUUGAUGCUUAGGCCAUUUGUAUAGGAGGCAAGUGUACGCAAGUGUUCUAUGCAAUUUGCCUCAAGAUGUCUUUUUCAGUAAUGAUCAUUUAUAAGGCUUAUGAAACAGAGAAGAGGAGAGAGGGAAAUAUAGAGUGGGAGGUAUGUGGGUAUACAGGAGUAAAUUUAAAUCCUGGGAGACUUCAAACCAAUUAUUUAGUAAGGGCUUCUAUUACUAUAACCCAAAUCGUCUAGUUGCAAGUUAAAUAAAGGCAAAAG